rnacentral:rRNA from 1 species
GGGUUAGUAGGUUGGUCAUGCCUCUGGUAUGCACUGGUCUCACUGAUUCCUCCUUCCUGAUGAGCCGUAAUGCCAUUAAUUUGGUGUUGCGGGGAAUUUGGACUGUUACUUUGAAAAAUUAGAGUGUUUAAAGCAAGCUAACGCUUGAAUACAUUAGCAUGGAAUAAUGAAAUAGGACGUUCGAUCCUAUUUUGUUGGUUUCUAGGAUUGACGUAAUGAUUAAUAGGGAU